GUGGCGAGCUGCUUAGUCAAGGCUGUCAGCUUGAUGCCAAUACAUUGUUCCUUGCAUUGAAUUGGUGCCUUGAGAUGAACGAUUAAGGAAGCAGGAGGUUGAAGGGGCAGUGGAAGGAUCUAAACAGCUAAAAAUAAAACUCAAGGAAAGCAAAAUCUGCAGGACAGGGCUGCCAAGCUAACAGCACAGCGACAGGAGAACAGCUACUAUCUGGUCUCCAGCGCAAAUAUGGAUGAGACUAUAGCUGGAGCUGUCUGCUGCCCGUGAUUCAGACUGUCUAUGGAAUGCAAUGAGUGUAAAGAUUUCAAAAUUACAAUCGAAAGUUGUUUCAUGCCAUCUGGAAGCUGACUCCUUGGUGCUGAUAAUCGUCAUCUGGUUUAGUCUCCAAACAAGCUUGUCUUCCACCAGCAAGUAGAUGGGAUU